rnacentral:misc_RNA from 1 species
GAUGAAGAACGUAGCGAAAUGCGAUAAGUAAUGUGAAUUGCAGAAUUCAGUGAAUCAUCGAAUCUUUGAACGCACAUUGCGCCCGCCAGCAUUCUGGCGGGCAUGCCUGUUCGAGCGUCAUUUCAACCCUCGAGCCCCCCCGGGGGCCUCGGUGUUGGGGGACGGCACACCAGCCGCCCCCGAAAUGCAGUGGCGACCUCGCCGCAGCCUCCCCUGCGUAGUAGCACACACCUCGCACCGGAGCACGGAGACGGUCACGCCGUAAAACGCCAACUUCUUAGAGUUGACCUCGGAUCAGGUAGGAAUACCCGCUGAACUUAAGCAUAUCAAUAAGCGGAGGA